UACGUAGGUGGCAAGCGAUACUCGGAAUCACUAGGCGUAAAGCGCAGGUAGGCGGUUCGGUAAGUCUUUUGUGAAAGCUCCUGGCUUAACCGGGAGAGGUCAAAGGAAACUACCGGACUAGAGUUUGGUAGGGGGAUACUGGAAUUCCUGGUGUAGCGGUGAAAUGCGUAGAUAUCAGGAGGAAUACCUAUGGCGAAAGCAGGUAUCUGGGCCACAACUGACGCUGAGCUGCGAAAGCUAGGGGAGCAAACAGG
rnacentral:rRNA from 1 species